rnacentral:sRNA from 1 species
CACACGUGGACGUGCGGCGACGCCGGGGAGAAAUCCCGACGUUACCGUUCCGGUCCCGGUCCGAAUCGUCGGAGCGGGGGUGUCCACGGAGGUUCAACCGGAAGAAGGAGACCU